GAUGAAGAACGCAGCGAAAUGCGAUAAGUAAUGUGAAUUGCAGAAUUCAGUGAAUCAUCGAAUCUUUGAACGCACAUUGCGCCCGCCAGUAUUCUGGCGGGCAUGCCUGUUCGAGCGUCAUUUCAACCAUCAAGCCCCCGGCUUGUGUUGGGGACCUGCGGCUGCCGCAGGCCCUGAAAUGCAGUGGCGGGUUCGCUGUCACUCCGAGCGUAGUAGUUACAUCUCGCUCUGGGCGUGCUGCGGGUUCCGGCCGUUAAAAGCCUUAUUUACCCAAGGUUGACCUCGGAUCAGGUAGGAAGACCCGCUGAACUUAAGCAUAUCAAUAAGCGGAGGA
rnacentral:misc_RNA from 1 species